AUCCAGCUGACGAGUCCCAAGUAGGACGAAACACGCGUCCUGGAU
rfam:Schistosoma rodhaini strain Burundi genome assembly, scaffold: SROB_scaffold0007183